UACUCUACACAUGUGACACCCGUUUGCUGUCUCACCUCAUUCGGUGUCCUUGUGUCUCUUUGUGUUUUUUUUUUCCUUUGUGUAUCUCUGUGUUUUUCAUUUUUCCUCUCUCACUACAAUUUCCUUUCCCCUCUAGUCCCCUCAUCAGGGAACUCCCUUAACUGAUCUUUAAAUCCAGGUCCCGAAAUUAGGAUUGACUCCUUUCACCAAAAAAA